rnacentral:rRNA from 1 species
AACGAACGCUGGCGGCAGGCUUAACACAUGCAAGUCGAGCGCCCCGCAAGGGGAGCGGCAGACGGGUGAGUAACGCGUGGGAAUCUACCCAUCUCUACGGAAUAACGCAUGGAAACGUGUGCUAAUACCGUAUACGUCCUUCGGGAGAAAGGUUUAUCGGAGAUGGAUGAGCCCGCGUUGGAUUAGCUAGUUGGGGGGGUAAAGGCCUACCAAGGCGACGAUCCAUAGCUGGUCUGAGAGGAUGAUCAGCCACACUGGGACUGAGACGCGGCCCCGACUCCUACGGGAGGAAGCAGAUGGUAAUAUUGAACAAUGGGCGCGAGCCUGAUCCAGCCAUGCCGCGUGAGUGAUGAAGGCCCUAGGGUUGAAAAGCUCUUUCACCGGUGAAGAUACUGACGGUAACCGGAGAAGAAGCCCCGGCUAACUUCGUGCCAGCAGCCGCAGUAAAAC